CCUGAGAAACCCAAAAGAUCGAAUGGGGAGAUUCAUCGUCAGCGAUUUUGGUACGUGUGCGGUUCGCGAUGUCGGAGACUUCGGUCUCAUGGCACGCGUCCGCAUGUUUUUUAUGCCUUGAAUCGUCNNNNNNNNNNNNNNNNNUAGUAGGACGUCGCGACCCGUUGGGUGUCGGUCUACGACCCGGGUGGUAGCCUGUCUCGUGUGCGCUUCGCGGCGUUACGCGGGGCAGACCCCUGUGUGUCUGGCCGACUGCUCGGCGGUAUUCGCACGGUAUCUGGCCGCAAAUAUUCGAACUGCGUCCGGCCCGUCGCAAGCGAGGCAAGUGUUUCCCGGAUGUACGGAUCUAAUGCCGUCACCGGGCCUUGCCAGCUGUUGGUUGACGGUGUCCUAGGACUGGCCAAAAUAAUUAUGAUACCGGUCGGCGACGCUACUGCUUUGGGUACUUUCAGGACCCGUCUUGAAACACGGA
rnacentral:rRNA from 1 species